AGAAUCAACGCUGGCGGCGUGCCUAACACAUGCAAGUCGCACGAGAAAGGGUAGCAAUACCUGAGUAAAGUGGCGCACGGGUGAGUAACACGUGAAUUAUCUACCUCCGAGUGGGGAAUAACUGAGAGAAAUCUUAGCUAAUAUCGCAUAACACUUACGAGUCAAAGCAGCAAUGCGCUUGGAGAGGAGUUCGCGGCCUAUCAGCUAGUUGGUGGGGUAACGGCCUACCAAGGCGACGACGGGUA
rnacentral:rRNA from 1 species